rnacentral:tRNA from 1 species
GUGGGAUAGCUCAGUUGGUAGAGCAG